rnacentral:rRNA from 1 species
CGACCGGCGCACGGGUGAGUAACGCGUAUGCAACCUGCCCGUUUCAGCGGGAUAACCCGGAGAAAUCCGGCCUAAUACCGCAUGUGGCCGAGGGGAGGCAUCUUCUUUCGGCCAAAGGAGGCGACUCCGGAGACGGAUGGGCAUGCGUGACAUUAGCUUGUUGGCGGGGUAACGGCCCACCAAGGCGACGAUGUCUAGGGGUUCUGAGAGGAAGGCCCCCCACACUGGUACUGAGACACGGACCAGACUCCUACGGAAGGCAGCAG